UACGUAGGGGGCAAGCGUUGUCCGGAAUCAUUGGGCGUAAAGCGCGUGUAGGCGGUCCGGUAAGUCCGCUGUGAAAGUCGGGGGCUUACCACCGUGAUGCCGGUGGAUACUGUCGGGCUUGAGUACGGAAGAGGCGAGUGGAAUUCCUGGUGUAGCGGUGAAAUGCGCAGAUAUCAGGAGGAACACCAUUAGUGCGAAGGCAGCUCGCUGGGACGUACUGACGCUGAGACGCGAAAGCGUGGGGAGCAAACAGG
rnacentral:rRNA from 1 species